rnacentral:lncRNA from 1 species
UGGGAACCUCCUAACUACUCCUGAUCAUCAGCGGCCUCCACGUAGUAGUAGGCACCGUCGGGGUAGCAGUCGUCGGUGGCGGGGACCUCCAUCUCCUGGGCUUCAUCAUCUGGUCACAGCAAACGGAUCAAGGGGACAAAAGGGAAGCAAAGCAGCGGUGAGUACUCAUCCAAAGCACUCGGAAGUCUUACAUCAGAACUAUUCUAAUUAUGCAUCAGUAUCAAAGAAGGGGGUUAUAUGUGGACUGACUGCAGCAAUGCGAGAAAAGAGAGAGAAGGCCUAGUCCUAUCGAAGACUAGCAUCUUCAGGGUCUUACAGCAAUAGACGAGAGUAGAACAGGGGGUAACACAUUAAUAGUCAUAUUGUUGCAGCAUUAUUAAAGUGAGGUCACGCCUAAAGAUCCUCCCUCGACUCCCUGCGAGGAAGCAAUCCCGAGGCAAACUAAUUCCAGUUAAGUAACAAUUGUAGUUGUAAAAGAUCGGGGCACAACUCCAAGUCGUCCUGUAACCGUGGACACGGCUAUCCGAAUAGUUAAUUUUCAUCCUUGCAGGGGUGCACCACAUGUCCCGUCACGCUCGAUAACACUCUGGCCGGACAUACUUUUCUGGGUCCUGCCCGGCCUCGGAAUAUCGACACGUCGCAGCACCACCUAAGACUAAUCAGAGAGGCCAGCCCGCCGGUCUAAAUCCUAAGCACAAAGGGUUCAUGGGCCCAGUUCCCCUUCACGCUCCUGCACGUGGCGUGGGCGGCCGACGUCAGUCCUAGCAUCCCUUAAUCACAAGCGCGAUGCAUCUCGGGACCACUCGGGCGCGCGCCGCUACACUGCUGGCAUCUGAAAAGCUUCGGCUGAUACCGCGACGCCGAGUACCCAUAAUUCUUCCCGCGUAGCCGGUUAGUGCGAAAAGGUCUCCGACCAACCCAGAUCAAAUACCCAAAUCCAUUAGCAUUUUAAUUAGGCCAGCAACACAGUCUCACGGGAAUCCACCCGUCUUACAACUAAUCACCGAAGAUCCCAGUAACAUGGUCGAGUAACUGUGUGGUUGUAACAUCGGGGGAAUCCGAGGUAUCACCCUCGUUGGAUUCCGAACGAUGUACCCAUCAAGGUGGGCUUAGAGGAAUCACCCUCGGGGGUCCCACACUCGCGGGGUGGCACGACAGAGACGUCAUCGGGAAUGGUGAAAGAGGAAUCACCCUCGAUAACCACGACCGACUAGCUAUACUACAGAGAUAUCAUCAGGAGUACUUAGCGAGGUGUCACCCUCGGUACCCGAUAGUACCUCUGUAGCGUCGUACAACAAGGGGGGGUGAAUGUGCUGUGUCGGGUCUGGCUCGUCGAUCAGAGAUCGAGAUUUGAAAACAAGCGGGGCAACUGAUCUACGGGGUCAGAGGGGAUGACUGCUCCACCUAUACUAAGCAUAUUAAAAGUACAGGACUGAAAGUAGCAGUUCAUCAAAAACAGGCUAUGCAUCAGAUAUAGGAGCUAACUACAACAGUAGCAAAAUACUAAUGCAAGCAGUAGGAAGAAAGACAUAGGCGAUAUAGGAAUGAUCAAGGGGAGUUUGCUUGCCUUGCUGCUCUGCGGCAAAGGACUGAUCGGCAGGGUCGUAGAUGUACCCGGCAGCAGCGUCAGUCUCGGGGUCUACCGGUAAGAAGAGGGGGAAGAAACAAUAAAUAAUAGCACCGAUGCAACACAAAGCAUGACAUGAAAAGAUGCACGCUAGACAUGAGCUAACGCAGCAACAUCCGUCAUAGACGGGUCGGAAGAAUAUCUGACGAUAUUUUCCGGGUCUCGGGCUACUACCGGUUACACUGGAAACGGAGGAAAAGUUCCAUGUUUGCUAUGCUAGGGACGCGUGACAAACGAACGGGCCGUGUAUCCGGGUUCGUCUCGCUUUGCUGAUCAACUUUCAUGUUGAAAAUAUUUUGAUCUGACUUACGGAUUAUUUAAUAUUAAUUUUCAAAGUUUUAUUAAUUAUUUAGGAAUUAAAAACAGAUUUAAAUAUUUUAAUAAAAUCCCAUUACGACAUCAUCGCGAUGUCAUGCUGACAUCAACAUUUGACCGGUCAACUGACCUGCGGGUCCCGAACGUCAUAGGCACAAGUUUUUAUUAAGAUUAAUUAUUUAUUAAUCAGAUUAAUUCAACGAGGGACCCACGUGUCAUACUCUAAUUAUGUUAAUUAAUUAUUUUAACUAAUAUAUCUAUUUAUUUAUUUAUUUAAGAAAAACAUUAUUUUUAUAAUUUAUAUUAGCUACCGCAUGGGGCCUCCCUGUCAUAGACAGCGGAUGCAUUGGCCCCACCGGUAAGUGGCCUAAGGUUAUUAUCUCAUCUUUUUUAUUAUUAGAUACCUAACCGUGCAAAUACCGUAUUCCUCUAAAUAUCCAUAUACGCAAUACAUACAUCACAUCUCAUACAUACAUACAUACAUACGCAUCUAAUACAUCAUUUGUUAUUAUUUCUUUUUUCUUUUCUCUCACAACACUCAUCUCUCUCUGUGUUAACACAAACACAGAACUCUCUCUGCUCCAACUCAACCUAGAGGAACCAAAUAUUCAAACCUUCCUACCGGAGUCUACCGUCGACGGAUCGAGGCCCCGUUUGCCGGAACGGAACCGGUACGGCGAGGAGAUCGACAUGGUGGGAGGAGCCCGAGGAGGGGCUCAACGACGGUGACGAGACGGCCCGAUGAAGCCGGAGUUCGCACGAAGGUGAAGGUGACGACGGUGACGCGGUUCCGGUGAAGACGGGCGUGGGGAGGCCCGGUGGGGGAGGGGCUCGCCAGCGUGGUGAAGGGGGCCGAGGAGAGCCGGUCUCCCUGCCCGGUCCCUCCUGGACCGAGCGGGAGGAAGGGGGCGCGACGGGGAGGGGGGCCCCUCGGUGAGGAGAGGAAGGGGGGCCGCCGGUGGGAUGGAGGGCCGAGGUGAAGCUGCAGGCCGGCGCGGUGGAGGGGGGGCUCGCCGGCCGGCGAGUGGGAGGCCGACGGGGUGGCGAGAUCCGGCGCAUGAGGGAGAGGAGAGGCGACGCGGGGGAGGUGCGCCCCGACGGGGAGGGCGCGGGCGCUCGCUGGGAGGGGAGGCGACGGGAGGAGAGGAGGGUCGUGGAGGGGGCACUCGCCGGCGGGAUGGGGAGGUCUGGGGGUCGGCUCGUGGGUUGCAGGGGGGAAGGGACUCGGUCCCUGGGGGGAGGCGANUGCUCUUCCGAUCUGAGGUGGGGAGUGGCGGCGCCCAGGGGGGGCUGACGAGGGAGGGAGGGUCUUGCGAGGGGGUGGGCUAGGGUUCCCAGCGGGGCUGGUGGGUGGCCUGGCUGGCUGGGCCACUAGGCCCAGUUGGGCCAGGUGGGGGGGUUGGGUUGUUUGCCCUUUUUUUCAUUUGUUUUUUCUUUCUUUUACUUUCUGACAUUCUAUCAUUAUUAUUUUCUUAUAUAUUUAUAUCUUUCUGUUCUAACUAUAUAGGACUUUUAAUACAAUUAAAAUGUCCGAUUCGUUUUUAUAACAUAUUAGGGAAUUUGAACAACUCUCCCGACAUUUUUACUUAACAUCACGAAACGUUUCUCGUUCGACUUUAUUCGUAAAUUUCGAACUCGACUGGUUUUUCGACUACCACGAGAUCCACGAUAGAAUUUAUGAUGACGUGGCUUCACUAGCGUGUGAUUACUGUCGCUUGACUACAGGAGUUACUGUAGCACCAAUCCGAGGAUGUCACAAAUAGCUUGAGGAUGCAUUUGCAUCUUGGNNNNNNNNNNNNNNNNNNNNNNNNNNNNNNNNNNNNNNNNNNNNNNNNNNNNNNNNNNNNNNNNNNNNNNNNNNNNNNNNNNNNNNNNNNNNNNNNNNNNNNNNNNNNNNNNNNNNNNNNNNNNNNNNNNNNNNNNNNNNNNNNNNNNNNNNNNNNNNNNNNNNNNNNNNNNNNNNNNNNNNNNNNNNNNNNNNNNNNNNNNNNNNNNNNNNNNNNNNNNNNNNNNNNNNNNNNNNNNNNNNNNNNNNNNNNNNNNNNNNNNNNNNNNNNNNNNNNNNNNNNNNNNNNNNNNNNNNGAUGCAUUUGCAUCUUGGUCUUCCAGUAGGGAAAAUCCUUUCCUUCGAAGGUAGGACAUCCUGGAGUAACCUUGAUCAUACCUAUGGUCGACAUAACUAAAACUCCAAGUGGUUAAAUCGAAAUCACACAGAACAAGGGAGUACCUUGCUCUGAUACCAACUGAAAGUGUAUUAUAUCGACUAGAGAGGGGGUGAAUAGGAGAUUUUUAGAAUUUUAUCACUUAGGAAAUUCCUUGUGAGGAAAGUCCUUAGUUAUGAACUUAGUGCAGCGGAAAUAGUACAUGAUCAGGAUUGCAAAAAUGACUACAACAAAGUACUCAAUGAAAUUUAAGAGAUUCAGUUUGCACAGUUCGCAAUUACAGAGUAAGAAGGUGAAGAUUAACUCAAGUGAAGAAUUUGAGGCUGAGGAAAUUCAGAGAAAGUCUUCAGACAAAUUCUUCAAAGAUCGCAGUUGAAAGUCUUCAACAUUCAAUUGAGGAAAUGAAAGAGUUGAAGAAAUAGAACUCGUAUGUCGAUGGAGACAGUUGUUGAUGACCCAGUUCCAACUGCUGUGACAGUUGUAUGUCUCGUUCGGAGUGGCUCUGUAUUGAAAUUAAAAAGGACACAUAUUCCCGGGACACACAGUCCCUACCGUAUUCUCCUUGAGCUAAGGACACACAGUCCUCGCCCAACACUCGUGGUAAGUCUUCCGGGCAGAUUUCCAAACCCUCACAAACUCGGUCACCCGGCGAUCCACAAUUGACUGUUGGAUGCUCUAGACCAUGACGCCUAACCGUCUAGAGGAUGCACAGUCCUCAAAGGUAAAAAGCGUCGGCUACACAUAGGAACAACUUCUUUAGUGAUGCUCAAUCACUUGGGUUUUUGGUUCGGGUUUAGUGUUUGGGAUAUUUCCUCACUUGAUGCUUUUCUCUCAAAGACUCUGAGGAAUUUGGGUUUCCCAAAAUGACAAGUGUCAGUUUCUCUCAGAGCAUACAAUUAGCAAGUGGUUGUGGGGCGGCUAUUUAUUGCCCGAGAGCAUCCCGGCAUGAUUUGACAUAAUAGCCCUUAAAUGAUAUGACUGUUGUGUGGAUAAGAUCAGUGAGGUGGGGCUAAGCGCGACAACGGUCAGAACUUUCAGAUGUGAAAGUCCUCAUGUCUCUCAUAUUCCUCACUUUGAGGCUUGGGUUGAGCAUCAUGAGGAAAAACAUCCAUAGCUUUACCUCGACCCCGUUUAACAGUACGUUGUUCCUAUGACUCAAGUGUAAAGAAAACGAAACAGAAAGAGUAAAUCUUCAUGCUUCAAAGUAUUCACAGUGUUUUCAUCCGAACACACCGAAUUCCUCAUCUUCAAUAUCUUCAUGAGGAAUAUCAAUUCCAUCACAAUUUCUUCACGAUCAAAGUCUUCAAGGAAAGACCAAAGUCUUCAGCCGAAAACAUACAUUUUUAGGGGUCGAUAUUCAUCGUAUAACUCAAACUCCUCAGUUACUUAUAGAGCAUGUGUACACUCACAAAUACAUUAGUCUCUUAACCUAUAAGUCUUCAAACCACCAAAAUCACUAAGGAGCACUAGAUGCACUUACAGGCCAGUUGCACUAUCCUCAAGUUCUUCAUCUGAAUCAGCAGCGCGGAAUGAAGAAAAUGAGUUGUCCACCAAGUUAAGAAGUGGAAUAGUCUUGAAUUUCUUCUUUGAUGGCCAUGACCAAUCGAAGUUCUGAGUGAAUUCCGAUUCUUCAAGUUCAUCUGGUGUCUUCACAUGAUACAGUAUGGCCCAAGUGCGAUCAAAUACCUCAUGAAGAUAAUAGUGAUUUUUCUUCACAACAUUUUGAGUAUCAUUGCUGGUUUUCACAAUGGAGCCAAACUGGCGUGUUACCCACUUGUGACUGUGAUUGACUUUCUGAUGAAGACUGAGGUGAAGUUCUCUGUUAGCCAUCACCCUUGGCAUAGUUGGGCUUAGUGGUUUUGCUCUUCCAUCAGAUUCUUGAGUGGCAGUGUCAUCAUAUGAGGAAUAGGAGGCAGCCUUGCGAAAUUGACCAUCAAGGGGUCGAUUUCCUUCAUCAAUCACUGACUUGCCUUUGCCUUCAACUAGUUCAAAAUAUUUCUUGAUGACUUUGAGAGGCGACAGAUAACCGAGAUGAUUCUAAUAGUUAGCUUGGAAGUUGAUGGCGGAUGUGUUUCUCAUGAUUCUCAUGAUCCAAGGAUCAUAAAUCUUCAGAUCAAAUGGCGACAAAGCAUUGCCAGCCAAAGUCCUCAAUAAGAAAUCGUGAACGUUCAUUUUGAUGCCAUGAAUGACGUUGAACAGGAUGUUCUUCAUGAUUCCAAUAAGAUCUUCUUCCUUAUCAUGCCCUUUGAUAGGUGCGAUGGAAUAUGCCAAUAUUCUGCCGACAGUUCUGGGCACAUACUCCAAUUCCUUCACAAGAAAACUGUCCUUGGAGGUUGGCCCGGAGCCAAAGGUUUCAUGAGGACCUCCAUGAGCUUAUUUGGAAAAUUUUGUUCAUCAUACAGUUUGACUGCAUCUUCUGAAGGAAUUGGGAUAGGAAGAGCUCGAAGCAAUUCUGUGGCUGGAGCUUUGUAGUGAGUGUGUUGUUUCAUCCAGUCCAAGACCCAAGACUUGAUGUAUUUGGGGUCACCUGAGAUAUGAACUGUGGCACAGAACUGAAGAAUAAUAUCAAUAUUCCACUCACCGAUAUAUGUGCAAAAUGGUAGUAGCCUUGCUUCGUGAAGAACACUCAGUACUAGGGUGAAGCAAGGAAUUGCCUCUAUGUCACAAUGACAAAUGUGGGUGUGAUGAACUAUCUUCCUUUCCCCACAGAGCACAAAACCAUAGUAAUUAAGUUGAGUUCUAGUCCAGAACUUUCUGUGCGUGAUACGAAGCCUAUCAUAAGGAUUUUCUCAAGUGAAGAAAUGAUGUUCAUCAUAGAAAUCUUCCUUCAAAAACUUUGGCCUCUUUGAGAAGGGGUGGUGACGCUUUGGUUGAAGAUUAUGAUGUUGAUCAUCUUGAGUAGUUUUGGCCACCACAAUUGCGGUUUCAGGAUUUGCAACCACAGUUGCAGUUUUAUCAGUUGUAUUUUUAUCCUGUACUAAGGCAUUUUCAUGAGGGGCUUGUUCUCCAGUUUGAGGAAUUUGCUAUGCCGAAGGAGCAGAUGCAGUUUCUGGUGUAGCAGUUUCCUUUUCAGUUUCUUCAGUUCAUUGAGCUGAUUCUUGGUAUGUGCUGAUUUCACAUGUGAUCUAUUUUCUUCAGAGCCACUCAAAAUUUUAGUGGCAGCAGGAGUUUGAGGAAUUUGAGUGGUUAUUGGCUAGUUUGGUUGAGCCUUUUCCCAAAAUUCAUCAUGAAUAAGAGGUGUGCUGCUGCCAAUGUCUUCAUUAGCCUCCUUUUCUUCAGCAGUCAUUUCUGGGUUUUGAGGAGGAGGUGUUGACAUUUGAGGAAUUUGAUCUGCUUGAAUUUGCUCAUCAGUUGGUGUGGAUGUAGCAGAGCGAUUGUCAUCCAUUUCCUCAUCCUGUUCAAGAAUCAUGUGCUCUUCACCAAAUGGAACAAUCAUGUAUGAUGGUGCAAGAGUGAGGGGGUCACAUGCACAACGAUGCGCAGAGUUUUGAGGCGUUUUGCCUCUGAGGACUUUGAAGGUGCUGAUGCCUUUCUCUUCUUUGCUUUCUUCUCAGCAGCUUUUGUUUUCUUCGCGUCUAAUGUAGACGGCAGAGUCACUUUCUUCACCUUUGAAGACUUUGGUGAAGGAGCAUUUUCAUCAGGCAUUCCAUGGGCAGUGUUAGGCCUGGCAAAUUCUUCAGAAGGAAUAUUAUGUGUAAUUUCAUUAGCAACUGGUUCUUCAUCUUCAUUAGAAUCAGCCAAUUGCAUAGUAUAGCUGGGCUGAGGAUUUUCUGGUAGCUUUGUUGAGACUCCCUCAUUGACUUUGGACAACCUAUCCGAGAUAAGCUUAGUUGUUGCCAAAGCACUAACUCUGCCAUACUGACCUUUGCUCAGGUAGCCACAGAUGACAUUCUUCGAUUGCGAGUCAAGUUUCUUGAAUUUCUUCACAUCAGCGGCAGAGACAGUAGCAGUGAUGGAUGGAAUAACAUUUUCAACAAUAUACCACAGAUCAUUGUCAAUUGCUUGAAGAUGCAUUUGCAUCUUGGUCUUCUAGUAGGGGAAGUCCUUUCCUUCAAAAUAUAGCAUGUGGCACAUGCUAGAAUGUUCUGGAAAUUUAUUGAGAACAUUACCUUCGGAAAUAUUUCAAAAGGUCAAAAUAGAAAGAAUUGGUUUUCAAGGGUUUGCUCAAAUAUUUUGAACAUCACUAGGGGUUGAAAUUCUUAUGUAUGGAGAAUAUAUGUCCUCUAAGUCUUCCCAAAUUUUCUGAGAUUUUUGGAAGGUAGAAAAUAAUUUUCCUCCCAGAAAUACCAUUUCUGGCCUUAGAAAGAACAUAUAAAAAAAUAGGAAAAUGACUUUAAAAAAAUUAUCAUUUCAUGGUUUGAAGAGUUAUAUUAAUUUUAAAAUCAAACUACAAUCUUUGGGUGAAGGGACUCCCUUAAAUUAAGGGACUUGCAGUGCAAACCCCAAAGCAAGGUUUUGGUUUACCAAAAUAAUUAAAAAGGAUUUUGGGAAAUAAUAUUUCAUAAAAACUAUUUUUAGAGAUCUUCUCACAAGCACACAUUCAAGAAAGACAAUCAAGGAACUCAUGGCAUUCACUUAAUAAGUUUUAGUUUAUACCAAAUUUUGGAAGAAAGACAACACAGACAAAGUGACGAUAAAACCUGGUGUGACGCCCACCCCAAGGAGGCCCCACCUCGCCUCCAACCUAGUCCGCGUUUGGCACGACCGACCGAGCCUCCCCGCCAACUUGAGCCCAGCCCGCUGCGGUGAGCUGCCCCCUUUCCUAUAUGACGUGUGUGCAUUUUGUAGCUAUGGUGCGCUCGCCCUUGUUUAGGCCCAACAAUAGAUUUGGCCCAGUUAACGUUUUUUUCGUAGAACGAUUAUCCAAAUUUAUCGAGGGCAUUUAAAUUACUAGAAAAUUGCAUAAUAUAAAAUGUUAAUAACAAAUUAACCAUGCAUCAUAUGCAAAAACCAUGGAUAUGUAAAAUGUCCACAAUUUUGUGUGGAUUAAUAAUUUCCAACUUUCAUGCAUGUUAAAAAUGUUUAAACUUGUUGAUUAAUUAAAAUUUCAUAGAUGCCAUGUGUCACACCCAGUUUUUGGCCUUUCUGACUAAUUAAGUUAUUUUAAAAAUUAGGACCAAUUAAAAAUCUUAUGAGUGCUCGUGAUGCUUGGAGUGACUAUUGUUUGCCUGUUUGCUUGAAUGCAUGUGAUUGGUCCCCAUUAAUUCUUGCCAUCCUCCUAAUCACCUCCUCAUUCCAUGAUCUCCUGCCUAAUGAUCAUGCCAUGUGUUUAGGAUAAAUAUCUAUUUUCACCAAAUAUUAUCUUCACCAAAAAGCAUUUCUUUGAAUUAAACUUUCAAACCCCUAAGAUGAGGUUUGUACUACAAGUCCUCAAAUUAGGGAACUUCUUUUGCACCAAUUAUUUUAUUUAAAACCUAUUAUCAAAAUGUCUUCAAAAAACCACCAUAUUAUUAUUUUAAAAGUUAUUUUAUUAUUUUAUUUAAAACCCCUUUUGUGAGGCGAGAAAUGGUCUCCUAUGAAGGAAAGUUAUUUUUAUUGCUUUCAAAAUAUUUAAGAAAAUUAAGGGAAACUCACUGGAUAUAUUUAUUCCAUAUUUAUGAGUUUCAACACAUGGUCAUGUUCAAAAUAUUGGGCAAACCCCUCCAAAACCAUUCCUGCCAAUUUCAAGCUUUUGGAAUAUUUCUAUAAGAAAUAUUAUCUAUAAUUCUAGAAAAAUUCUAGCAUAUCAUCUAUGAUAUUAUUGAUGAUCUUGCCAAGUUUCAUUUCAAUCCAAGUUGAAUUGGCUCCCCAAAUCCCUCUAAAACCCUAUCUGUCCAGAAUCAAAUUUGAGCAACUCUACAUUGUAAAGUGUCUCCAACUGUGCUCAAAUUUGGUGGACAUGUUCUAAUACUCCAAUAAGGCAUCCACACCAAGUGGUACAACAAGGAGAAUAGAAGAACUUGUCCUAAGACCCUCAAAACCCUCUCUGUUGAUUUCUGACUUUGGUAAACUUUACAUUAUAAAGUUUCUCCAAUUGACCUCAAACUUUUUGUGCAUGCCUUAAUGCUCAAAUAAUGCCCCUACACCAAAUAUUGGAUUUGUGGGAAACUAUUUGAAUAGGGUUGUAGGCAGAAAGCCAUUUAUGCCCAUUUUAGGGGUUUUCCAAGUCUACAUUGGAAAACUUCUCCAGCAAAUCCCAAAUUUGAUGUGCAAGCCUAUGUUCAUCUAUUAUUUGACCCUGUUAAAUUUCAUAGCCAUUGGAAUCCAUCUGGUAGCCCAACCACAGAUCAAACACCUUGUGUGCACUCACUAAAUUGGCUUCUUUGAACCCUUCCACUUUUACCCUCGAGCUCAACUUUCUACCACAGCCUCACAUAGUUACAUUUCACCUGCAGUAACAUUCCCAUGGCCACUGGUCAAUUAUUGGGGAAGGAACCUUUGUAACUUCCUCUCAUUUUUACCCUUGGAAGCACUAUUUCACCUCUCUUCCCAUACUUCUGCUUAAGCUAAUGCCCCCAACUCUUUCCAGAGCAUCUAUUCUAUGCCAAAGCUUCAUUUAGAACCAAGAGAUGGCAUGCUCAUGUGGAGAAAAUGAGCAGCACUUCUACAAAUGGAUUUCUAGUUGAAGCAUGGCUUUGAACAGUAAGUAGUAGCUACCCUCCCUUGUUUGAGCUGAAACUUUGCAGUAAUGAAGUCCUUCCAUGCCUAAGACUGCUAGACAUGCUUUUCUUCCAGUAUCUCUCAAGUUAGUGCCCUAUCUGCCCACCUUAAGUUUGCUGUUGCAAACUUAACCGCAGUCAAACUCAUCUCCAACCAGCCUCAGAGGCUUCCAAACUCCAGAGUCUUCCAAACUCCAGAGUCUCCCUCCUACAUGGGUGCCCUAUGUGCCAGACCACCUGACUGGUCUUGUGUGCCAUGUGGACGUGAGUGGCCAUGGUGACCACCUUCCUGACGUGCGGAAACGGUGCUCUGCACCUUGUCUUCUUUCUCCAGGGCGUGUACUGCCGUUUCAUCGUGUCCCAGAGCACCAGGGCAUCUCCUUUGACUAGUCCAACCUCUCCCCGACGCCCGCUUGCCUCCAAACCCCAUUUGGCAUGCGUGUCUUCGCCGUGCUUUCAGAGCUCCCGAGAUGCUCCCGAGCUCUCUCAUUCUCUCUCCCCUCUUAUUCCCUCUUCCCCGAACCCCUGUUGCUCUGGCCUCUCUUCCACACUCCCAUGGGCUCCUCCUGAGCACCUCUCCUCCUCCCUGCUCCCUCCCGUCGCUCUCCUCCUACUACCAUACCCAUGCCCAACACCGAAGGUCUCCGCGCGAGCCAACCAACCCAGGGGGUUUCCGGCUCGCCCCUGGGCUCUCCGGUGAGCCGCCGUUGCCGCGCAUCCCUCCCCAUGUGCCCCCUUUCUUCCUCUGGCGCCAGGGAGUAGAGACCUAAGAAGGCCGCGGCCACCUCCAUUUCGUGGAAGCCGGCGCCGCUCUGGCCCUCUCUGGCCAACGGGGGCCUCCAGCAGGGCGCAGCUCAUGACCCCGGUGCCUCCGGCGGCCGGGCCACAGCGAGCGGUGGCCGGAGGUGUGGGCCACCGGCGAAGGGGUGCUCCUCCCCCUGUCUCCUGCUCUGGCGGGAGGUAGACGAGAGACCCGACAGGCGGGGCCCAGCAUCAGCCUCCCAGCCGGUCGAGCCCCAAGUCCCUCUUGGCACACUUCCGUUUUGCGCCACCCCAAGGUGGAAACGCCUUUCCUCCAGUGCGCCAUCGGCGUGGCACUUCUCCCCCCGCAGCCGUGCAUCCAGGACGGCCCAGUGCGCCGCAGCGCUAUGCUGCGCUCAGUGCGAGGCCGAGGCCCGUUGGGCGCUUCCUUGCCUUUCUUUUGUUUUUCUUUCUGUAACUUAAAUAAUCCGUAGAAUAUUCAUUUGGAGUCCAAAAUUGAUGAUUCAAAAUUUUGCAGGUUCCUAAAAUCUUGUUCUAUCCAGAUCUGGGCAUUGCACCUUUUUCCAAAAUACUUUCCUGUGAUAAUGAUAUCUAAAUGCCCAUUUAGAUAUUUUAAACACCACCUUUACAAAUUCCUAGAGGAUCCAAACCAACUCCAAAUGGAGUGAUUUAAAUUUCGAGAGCCCUCUUAAAUAAUUCCCUAUUUUUAGAACCGUGGCCAACAUUUUUGUGUGAUUUAUUUCUGUUCAAUAAAUAAAUAGCUUCCUAUUGCUAUUUAUUCCCCAUUAGAACAUUCCUAGUAUAUUCAUUUCAACUCCAAAUCUAGUGAAACCACUUCCUAAAUAUUUCUAAAAUCAUUCUGUGUUAAAUGGGUGCCUCCACUCAUUUUUAACAGAACGAUUUAUGUUGGCUUCUUCAAUAAUCACCUAUCCCUCCUUUCCUUCCAUUCAGACUCCCAAGAUGAUCGAAAACCCCUUGGCAAAGCUUCAGUGACGGGUAGACGGAGUAUUCGGAGCUGGAGCGGAAGACCUCGAAGAUCUGGAGGACUUACUGAGCAAGGCAAGCAACCCUUUGACCAUGACUGAGCAUAUGUUACUUUGCACGUUAAAUAGCAAGUAUUCCCGUUGCAUAUGAUCAUAAGUGCCGGUAAUCAUUCGAUAUGAUUUUACCGAAGCCUCCUCCGGAGCACAUGCAUUGAGCUUGACUCUACCCCUUAGGGUCAUGAUAACACCAUGUUGACAAGUAAAAGUAGCAGUACUAUUAUCAUGAGCAUGAUGUUGUCAUAAAGCAAGAGUUUACGAAAACCCCGUCAGGUGCCACUAAUGCCCGAGGGUGAUGAUGUGUUAGGUGGUCACUUUUGGUGAAGUGAUGCACCCGGUAUUUGUGUGAGUAAGGUUUCGGAAAUGGGAUUAGAUUUAUGAUGUGUCGACCGUCCCAAUCUUACCAGUACGACCACGUUACCCUUAUGGGACGGGCUAUGUUAAUUACUCUCGUCGGUGCUUACAAAGAGCCACAUUACUAGUGGCGGGAGUGAUAUGUGGUCACUCCCGUGAUGGGGUCGUGCCGGGUAGGAUGACUAUGCCAUUUUUAUGACUUCCAGUCACACCGUUGGUCCCCGCAUGGUUGGUACAGUCCAGAGUUUGAGCUCGUAAGACGUACAACAUGUGGGCUGGGUACCAAUCGAGUGGACCUCUUUGUCUAGUAUCGUCAGGGGAAAGGCAUUGAUCGGGUACUUACCUCGGGUAUGUGAUAUACCGCGAGUUGUGGAUGACACGGAAGUUUCCCGGAUCUCAUAGCUCCAGCAUACUGCCUCUGCAGAGUGUAAACUGUUCGAAUAGCGGUGUCCACGGUCAAGGACAGUUGGGUAAUCCUGCUUAAACUACAUCCUGAUAUUUCCGCAUAAACCAAGUGUGUGUUAGUGUGUGUGUGUGUGUGGUGUUGAGAGAGGUGUUGCUAUGAUAGCAAUGAUAUGACCAAGUUCGAUGACUUGGCAUAUAGGGUGAACCCGGAUGGUUCAGCCCUCGACAGAUAGAAAGGUGUUUCUUUAAUAACAAGGAUAUGACCAAGUUCGGUGACUUGGCAUAUAGGGUGAACCCGGAUGGUUUAGCCCUCAACAGAUAUAUUGAUAUCUGUAACCUGUUCUUCAUAAGUAAUUCUUUAUCUCGAUGCAUAUUCAUGAUCACUUCCACCAAGAUGAGUUACACUAAAGAUGCAUGAUAUUGUCAUCCUUCACUUUCGUUAUUCAUGUCAUGGGCUAUUCGCGAGUACAUUCAAAGUACUCAUUGGCUUGCCACAGAUUAUUUCAUUGACUAGGUAUGAAAGAAAAGGAUAUGGUGAAGAUUAACUCGGUGACGUUCUUGCGAGCUAGGACGCUUCCCAGUCAGAAUGCCUGUAGGUUAAGGCUGAUGGCAUGGGUUCACGCUUUCAACCAAUAAUUCCGCUAUUGGCCCAGUUUGGUGUGUCGGCCUAUAAGGCCGUAUAUAUGUAAGACUCGACCGAAGUGGUCAUUUAUUGUAUCAAAUGGUACGUAUGGAUGUAUGACUCUUUUAUUCGGUAUUUGUGUUCGGUGAGCAUUGAUCUCUGGAAUCACUGAGCAUGGCGAUCUCAACUCGUAAGUCGGGGUCCCCAGAGAGCUGGUAUCAGAGCCAUCCUGACUGUAGGAAGCCCUUAGUUAGCACGGACGUUAGUUAGGAUAAAACUGCUUUCCACAUCAUUCAAAAUACUUACAAAACCUAUAUAUUUUCUCGACUCUCCUAAAUCUUCAAAGAAAAUUGAAGGUUAUGCUCUAGCCUUCCACUCUUAUUUUCUUGACACUCCUCGUCUACUUUUUCAAAACUUGCAAUGGUCGCUAGUACCUUAUGCCCUCUGACCACGGGAAAAAUCGAAAUCCUAGUGGUUAGCCCGGAAGGAAGUAACCUCUCCACGCUAACACAUGUGUAGAAGGACAGAGAAGACAGCUCUGCAACCAGACGACACCAACAGAAGUACCUCCAUGAGAAACGAGGACAUCGAGGCUUAGAAGAUGGUGAAACCCUGGGUACUGUUCCAGAGUGAUGCCACUUUCGCCUACGAUAAUCUGGACAUGAUAUAUGCAACCCUUGAUCUGCAUCACUAAUAGAGCGACCCUGUUAGUUAUAAAGAACUGUGUCGACCACCACCGGUGGAUGAGAACCUCGCCAUUUGGUCCGCCUCACCUUAGUGAGCAGGAAAACGGUUCUCUUCAUCCCGCGCUCUAGGUGUCGAUAUCGCAAUUAGUAUGAUUGACAGAUCAGAACUCUAUCAUGUCCUGCAAAAUAUGAUGCAUAAAGAUGUCCACUUGAGACUCUUGAAGCCUCAGAAGACAAGAAGACACUGACAAGAUCAUGAAGACAACAGAAGACCCUUUCAACGACAGCAAUGAAGGACUACCUUCGUCAGCAACUUCCUAGACGAGAAGACAACAAGAGUCUUUACAACUCAAGCGAAUUGCUUCGGCAAGCGACAACAAGAGGCGUGACAACACCAUGAGCAAGCCCAGAAGACUUAUCGAACUCCUCUCCGAAGCACGAAGCAAGCACGACUAUCGAAUACCAAAACCUAGGAUAGGAUGAGUCGUAAACUCCCUUAUGCGAAGUCGAGUCCGUGAAAUGGUUCGGGCGAACCAUGUUAUGUGUUGUCUGUUUUUUGUUGUUUGUGCUUUGAUAUAAGAUGCACUUUUUCUUGGGCAACGAGCAUGCGGUUAUAUCACUCGUCUUAUUUUGAUGUUCAAAACGAUUUUUGGCACUUGUUUGAGUUGACUUUCCAAUGCUUGUUUGAUUGCACUAAGACCCUUAGACACCCCCUAUGUGCCCUCUCUCUCUCACCCUCCGGACAACUGAAGACGGCAAGGCAAGAUGCACCAAGGAUCCACUUCAAAGGACGACUGACACUGAAGACACUGACUAUGCUAUGCUUAACCACACGUAACUAUAGUAGUGAUGCUUUUUUCCUUGAGAUCGGAAGAUCCACACACUAGGCCAGACUAAUCUCCACAAGCCUUUCCGGCUCAAAUUUUCUGGUCACAUGUCUAGUUCACGGACUUGCCAGAACACGUGUAGGUCCCCGAUGAACCCCGCCUAGCACUGGGUUCUUAAAGGAACGAGUGAUCACCGUGAACAAGUAUCUUCCAAUCUUAAGCUAGCACUGUAACCCUGAUGCCAUAAGAGGAUCGUUCUCGGAUAUAGAGUAUUAGGUUAAAGAUUGUCUUGAUGAUAUGUGUACUGAGGAUAUAACUAGACUAUCUUGGUGGAUCAUAAGACCCUUACGAAGGUAGGUAAAUUCGGUGGAACGAGUUGAUACAUUAGCAUAACCUACAUAAUCUGGAGUAAGAUUGGAUUUAGUAGGACGAUUAUGAUCGCGAUCAACAAUAUUCUCGGUGGUAUACGUGACUUUCGCAAGUAGUUGGCAUGAUUUGAUGCCUUUACCAUAACAACUUGGAGUAUCAAGUAGACUUCUUAUUGGAUUUGAGUCUUGGAUUUAAAUAGUUAAUCUUAAUAGAGUAUCGAGGAUGACAGAGACCACAUGGUUCGGAGUAAAUUGGAUUUAGCCAGAUAAUCUCGAUCAUGAUACCACGUUUCUCGGUGGAUAUAGAGUGCGUAUACUUGGAGUUGCCAAAUUGAUUUACAACCUAUGUGGUUUGGCCUUGGAGAUUAGAUGGCCAAGAUUAUUGAAGUUGGUGGAUAUACUAUGACGUAAUUCUUGCAGUAAUAUGUGAAUUAUGAGGACUCUAAGAGAUUAUGUAGAACCCCAUAAAUGAUUGGAUUUGUAGGAGUGAUAAGUCCCGUAAUGAUUGAUUGGAUUGAUGGAUCACUUGAUCGGAUUCAUAGAAAGGAAACAAGAUAUUGGAUUGGUAUACUAUGUGUUUCCUUAAAAUAGUAAUGUAGUACCGUGUCCGUUGUAUGAUCUAGCUGGACAUUGGAUUUGUAGUAUCCCAAUGCAACCGUAGCAGCUUAUAUACCUCCCCGAGGUUCUUGCAUAGUAAUGCAUGUGCAUCGUAGCUACACCAUACUUGUAGCGUUUGGGUUAGUUCUUCCCUCAACCCGGAAUUGGCUAGCAUGAGUGCUGUGGAGUUGACCGUGUGGGAUGGUAUCUUUGAUGAGAUGAGGUGAUAUCGUUCCGAGAUUUGAGGUCGAACUAUUGGCAUGUAAGGAAUGUGCUUAGAAUUAAGAUGAUAACUGUUCGCCCACGUCCUAAGUUCCUUGAGACCCUAAAGCUUCGCUGAGCCACAAGAUGGACAGAUUACGACCACAGAAGACGACUUUAAGUCGUUAAAACCUCUCCAGUAACCGCCCAUAGAAAGUUUCGUUCUCCUCAUCCGACUCUUGAGCAUUGUGCUUAUGUCUUGUUUGGGGAAAAUAAGUUGUCAUCCUCACUGAUGACGCACUUAUUCACCCGGUAAGAGGAAGAACACCUCAGUCCUGUCUGGACGAGCCCCGGGAACGCCCAUUGUCAUGCCUCUUGAAGGUACAGUGUUAUCUCGAGAAGGUGGGCUUCUCGAAGCAGUACCAAGACAACGAAAGUCGAUCCUACACGAAUCAGUAUGAAGAACCGCAGUGAUGAGGAAGCCACGACAACGACGAUGAAGCAACAGAAGUCAACCAUCGACCGCGCACCGACUAUAUCAACGACGUCAAGUAGCCUCGAUGAUUCAAGAUGAUAAAGCCUUUGGACAAGCGAAAGAAUCAGACGACCUCUCCUUGGUCCAAAUCAAGGACGAGAGUACUAGUGAGUCGUGGUGAAAACCUGCCAAAGGCGAUUCACCCACCCGCUGAGCCACGGACCUUGGGAAUGGAUGACUGGUCUAUACUCUUGGGUAGCCAGCUUAUCCAGAAACCUUCGCAAACCCUCCCAGAUGGCAGGACCUGUUCUAGACUCUGAGCCUCCGAGAUUAGACUCAUAGGUGAGACCCAACCCGGACCCUUCCACGAGAAGCCUUCGAAGACUAUUUGCGACCAUAGCUUGACUGUCGAAAGGAAGUCAAGGACUUCCCCGUAAACAGGAAGCUAUACGAAGACUUUGGCAGUGCGUUCUAACACGAGACACCUUGAUGUCACUAACCGGCAUGCGAGGCCCCAGGACCAGAUCCCAGACACACCAUCUUGCCACGUAUUCUGACUUCGGAAUACACUUGGAAGCCAGAACCUUGCACAGACUUAGCUCACCAAGCCCUUGACCUCGGCCAAGCAAAACUUAUUGCCAGAUCCCGCUCACGAUCACGCAAGGACGUGCGAACAUUUGAAGUUGUAUCAUCAAGCACCUCAAGACAACGACAACAACAUGGGGACAUGAAGACUACCUCCGACUCAAGAUUUUGUAUCUCACUAACCCCUAGCCUAGAAAUCUCGGGGACGAGAUUUUCUUAAGGGGGUAAGGUGUGUCACACCCAGUUUUUGGUCUUCCUGACUAAUUAAAAUAUUUCAAAAAUUAGGCCCAAUUAAAAAUUUUUUGUGAGUGCUUGUGAUGCUUGGAGUGACUAUUGUUUGCCUCUUUGCUUGAAUGCAUGUGAUUGCUCCCCAUUAGUUCUUGCCAUCCUCCUAAUCACCUCCUCAUUCCAUGAUCUCCUGCCUAAUGAUCAUGCCAUGUGUUUAGGAUAAAUAUCUAUUUUCACCAAAUAUUAUCUUCACCAAAAAGCAUUUCUUUGAAUUAAACUUUCAAACCCCUAAGAUGAGGUUUGUACUACGAGUCCUCAAAUUAGGGAACUUCUUUUGCACCAAUUAUUUUAUUUAAAACCUAUUAUCAAAAUGUCUUCCAAAAACCACCAUAUUAUUAUUUUAGAAGUUAUUUUAUUAUUUUAUAUAAAAGCCCAUCUGUGAGGCCAGAAAUGGUCUCCUAUGAAGGAAAGUUAUUUUUAUUGCUUUCAAAAUAUUUAAAAAAAAUUAGGGAAACUCAGUGGAUAUAUUUAUUCCAUAUUUAUGAGUUUCAACACAUGGUCAUGUUCAAAAUAUUGGGCAAACCCCUCCAAAACCAUUCCUGCCUAUUUCAAGCUAUUGGAAUAUUUCUAUAAGAAAUAUUCUCAAUAAAUUCCAGUAAAAUUCUAGCAUGUCAUCUAUGAUAUUAUUGAUGAUCUUGCCAAGUUGCAUUUCAAUCCAAGUUGAAUUGGCUCCCCCAAUCCCUCUAAAACCCUAUUUGUCCAGAAUCAAAUUUGAGCAACUCUACAUUGUGAAGUGUCUCCAACUGUACUCAAAUUUGGCGGACAUGUUCUAAUACACCAAUAAGGCAUCCACACAAAGUGGUACAUAAAGGAGAAUAGAAGAACUUGUCAUAAGACCCUCAAAACCUUCUCUGUUGAUUUCUGACCUUGGUAAACUUUACAUUANNNNNNNNNNNNNNNNNNNNNNNNNNNNNNNNNNNNNNNNNNNNNNNNNNNNNNNNNNNNNNNNNNNNNNNNNNNNNNNNNNNNNNNNNNNNNNNNNNNNNNNNNNNNNNNNNNNNNNNNNNNNNNNNNNNNNNNNNNNNNNNNNNNNNNNNNNNNNNNNNNNNNNNNNNNNNNNNNNNNNNNNNNNNNNNNNNNNNNNNNNNNNNNNNNNNNNNNNNNNNNNNNNNNNNNNNNNNNNNNNNNNNNNNNNNNNNNNNNNNNNNNNNNNNNNNNNNNNNNNNNNNNNNNNNNNNNNNNNNNNNNNNNNNNNNNNNNNNNNNNNNNNNNNNNNNNNNNNNNNNNNNNNNNNNNNNNNNNNNNNNNNNNNNNNNNNNNNNNNNNNNNNNNNNNNNNNNNNNNNNNNNNNNNNNNNNNNNNNNNNNNNNNNNNNNNNNNNNNNNNNNNNNNNNNNNNNNNNNNNNNNNNNNNNNNNNNNNNNNNNNNNNNNNNCUAAAUUGGCUUCUUUGACCCCUUCCACUUUUACCCUUGAGCUCAACUUUCUACCACAGCCUCACAUAGUUACAUUUCACCUCCAGUAACAUCCCCAUGGUCACUGGUCAAUUAUUAGGAAAGGAACCUUUGUAACUUCCUCUCAUUUUUACCCUUGGAAGCACUAUUUCACCUCUCUUCCCAUACUUCUUCUUAAGCUAAUGCCCCCAAAUCUUUCCAUAGCAUCUAUUCUAUGCCAAAGCUUCAUUUAGAACCAAGAGAUGGCAAGCUCAUAUGGAGAAAAUGACCAACACUUCUACAAAUGGAUUUCUGGCUGAAGCAUGGCUUUGAAGAACAAGUAGUAGCUACCCUCCCUUGUUUGAGCUGAAACUUUGCAGUAAUGAAGUCCUUCCAUGCCUAAGACUACUAGACAUGGUUUUCUUCCAGUAUCUCUCAAGUUAGUGCCCUAUCUGCCCACCUUAAGUUUGCUGUUGCAAACUUAACCGCAGUCAAACUCAUCUCCAAACAGCCUCAGAUGCUUCCAAACUCCAGAGUCUCCCUCCUGCAUGGGUGCCCUACGUGCCAGACAUGUUUGACUGGUCUUGUGUGCCAUGUGGACGUGAGUGGCCAUGGUGACCACCUUCUUGACGUGCAGAAACGGUGCUCUGCACCUUGUCUUCUUUCUCCAGGGCGUGUCCAGCCGUUUAAUCGUGUCCCAGAGCACCAGGGCAUCUCCUUUGACUAGUCCAACCACUCCCUGACGCCGGCUUGCCUCCAAACCCCCUCUGGCACGCGUGUCUUCCCCGUGCUCUCAGAGCUCCCGAGAUGCUCCCGAGCUCUCUCAUUCUCUCUCCCCUCUUAUUCCCUCUUCCCCAAGCCCCUGUUGCUCUGGCCUCUCUUCCCCGCUCCCAUGGGCUCCUCGUGAGCACCUCUCCUCCUCCCUGCUCCCUUCCCUCGCUCUCUUCCUACUGCCAUAGCCAUGGCCGAUUCCCGAAGGUCACAGCGCGAGCCAACCAACCCAGGGGGUUUCCCCCUCGCCCCUGGGCUCUCUGGUGAGCCGCCGUUGCCACGCAUCCCUCCCCAUGUGCCCCCUCUCUUCCCCUAGCGACAGGGAAUAGAGCCCUAAGAAGGCCGCAGCCACCUCCAUUUCCGCAGAAGCCGGCGCCGCUCUGGCCCUCUCCGGCUAACGGGGGCCUCCAGUAGGGCGCAGCUCACGACCCCGGUGCCUCCGGCGGCUGGGCCGCAGCGAGAGGAGGCCGGAGGUGUGGGCCACCGGCGAACGGGCGCUCCUCCCCCUCUCUCCUGCUCCGGCGGGAGGUAGACGAGAGACCCGACAGGCGAGGCCCCAGCGUCAGCCUCCCAGCCGGCCGAGCCCCAAGUCCCUCUUGGCGCACUGCCGUUUUGCACCACCCCAAGGCGGAAACGCCUUUCCUUAGUGCGCCAUCGGCGUGGCACUUCUCCCCCUGCAGUCGUGCAUCCAGGCCGACCCAGUGCGCCGCAGCGCUAUACUGCGCUCAAUGCGAGGCCGAGGCCCGUUGGGCGCUUCCUUGCCUUUCUUUUGUUUUUAUUUCUGUAACUUAAAUAAUCCGCAGAAUAUUCAUUUGCAGUCCAAAAUUGAUGAUUCAAAAUUUUCAGGUUCCUAAAAUCCUGUUCUAUCCAGAUCUGGGCAUUGCACCUUUUUCCAAAAUACUUUCCUCUGAUAAUGAUAUCUAAAUGCUCAUUUAGAUUUUUUAAACACCACCUUUGCAAAUUCCUAGAGGGUCCAAACCAACUCCAAAUGGAGUGAUUUAAAUUUCCAGAGCCCUCUUAAAUAAUUCCCUAUUUUUAGAACCUUGGUCAACAUUUUUGUGUGACUUAUUUCUGUUCAAUAAAUAAAUAGCUUCCUAUUUCUAUUUAUUCCACAUUAAAAAAUUCCUAGUAUAUUCAUUUCAAUUCCAAAUCUAGUGAAACCACUUCCUAAAUAUUUCUAAAAUCAUUCUGUGUUAAAUGGGUGCCUCCACUCAUUUUUAACAGAAUGAUUUCUGUUGGCUUCUUCAAUAAUCACCUAUCCCUCCUUUCCUUCCAUUCAGACUCCCCUGCUGAUCCAAAACCCCUUGGUAAAGCUUCAGUGACGGGUAGACGGAGUAUUCGGAGCUGGAGCGGAAGACCUCGAAGACCCCGAGGACUUACGUGAGCAAGGCAAGCAGCCCUUUGACCAUGACUGAGCAUAUGUUACUUGGCACGUUAAAUAGCAAGUAUUCCCGUUGCAUAUGAUCAUAAGUGCUGGUAAUCAUUCGAUAUGAUUUUACCGAAGGCUCCCCCGGAGCACAUGCAUUGAGCUUGACUCUACCCCUUAGGGUCAUGAUAACACCAUGUUGACAAGUAAAAGUAGCAGUAGUAUUAUCAUGAGCAUGAUGUUGUCAUAAAGCAAGAGUUUACGAAAACCCCGUCAGGUGCCACUAAUGCCCGAGGGAGAUCACUUUUCGUGAAGUGAUGCACCUCGUAUUUGUGUGAGUAAGGUUUCGGAAAUGGGAUUAGAUUUAUGAUGUGUCGACCGUCCCAACCUUACCAGUACGACCACGUUACCCCUUAUGGGACGGGGCUAUGUUAAUUACUCUGGUCGGUCAUAGCCAAGAGCCACAUUACUAGUGGCGGGAGUGAUAUGUGGUCACUCCCGUGAUGGGGUCGUGCAGGGUAGGACGACUAUGCCAUUUUUAUGAGUUCCAGUCACACCGUUGGUCCCCGCAUGGUUGGUACAGUCCAGAGUUGGUGCUCGUAAGACGUAAAACAUGUGGGCUGGGUACNNNNNNNNNNNNNNNNNNNNNNNNNNNNNNNNNNNNNNNNNNNNNNNNNNNNNNNNNNNNNNNNNNNNNNNNNNNNNNNNNNNNNNNNNNNNNNNNNNNNNNNNNNNNNNNNNNNNNNNNNNNNNNNNNNNNNNNNNNNNNNNNNNNNNNNNNNNNNNNNNNNNNNNNNNNNNNNNNNNNNNNNNNNNNNNNNNNNNNNNNNNNNNNNNNNNNNNNNNNNNNNNNNNNAACAUGUGGGCUGGGUACCAAUCGAGUGGACCUCUUUGUCUAGUAUCGUCAGGGGAAAGGCAUUGAUCGGGUACUUACCUCGGGUAUGUGAUAUACCGCGAGUCGUGGAUGACACGAAAGUUUCCCGGAUCUCGUGGGUCCAGCGUACUACCUCUGCAGAGUGUAGACUAUUCGAAUAGCCGUGUCCACGGUCAAGGAUAGUUGGGUAAUCCUGCUUAAAUUACGUACUGAUAUUUCUGCAUAAACCAAGUGUGUGUGAGUGUGUGUGUGUGUGGUGUUGAGAGAGGUGUUGCUAUGAUAGCAAUGAUAUGACCAAGUUCGCUGACUUGGCAUAUAGGGUGAACCCGGAUGGUUCAGCCGUCGACAGAUAGAAAGGUGUUGCUUUAAUAGCUUGGAUAUGACCAAGUUCGGUGACUUGGCAUAUAGGGUGAACCCGAUGGUUCAACCCUUAACAGAUAUAUUGAUAUAUAUUAACAUGUUCUUCAUAAGUAAUUCUUUAUCUCGAUGCAUAUUCAUCACCACUUCCACCAAGAUGAGUUACACUAAAGAUGCAUGAUAUUGUCAUCCUUCACUUUCGUUGUUCAUGUCAUGGGCGGUUCGCGAGUACAUUCAACGUACUCAUUGGCUUGCCACUGGUUAUUUGAUUGAACAGGUAUAAAAGAACAGGAUAUGGUGAAGAUUAACUCGGUGACGUUCUUGCGAGCUAGGAUGCUUCCCAGUCAGAAUGCCUGUAGGUUAAGGCUGGUGGCAUGGGUUCACGCUUUCAACCAAUAAUUCCGCUAUUGGCCCAGUUUGGUGUGUCGGCCUAUAAGGCCCUAUAUAUGUAAGACUCGACCGAAGUGGUCAUUUAUUGUAUCAAACGGUAUGUAUGGAUGUAUGACACUUUUAUUCGGUAUCUGUGUUCAGUGAGCAUUGAUCUAUGGGAUCACUGAGCACGGCGAUCUCGACUCGUAAGUCGGGGUCCCCAUACCAUGUUGAAAUGAUUUAAUUCAGAUCUAAUUAACUGUAGCUCCGAUUAAAAUAUUUUAUAUAGUUAACUUGGCUAGAGAAGUGCGUAGAAUAACAUGGUGGCAUUUAUUUUACAAUUUAACAACUCUACAAUUAAGUUUUAAGUAGAAUAGUACGGAAUCUAAUUUGCAUAUGGGGACUUUCUGGAAUUGUUUUUCGUGUUCCGGCCUCAUUUAAACUUGCCUAAAAUUUCAUGUAGCUCCAUGAUAUCUUGUUCAUCCAUGAUUAACAUGUUAUGGUUGUCAUUUGCAUGCAUUUUGCAUUCAUGGCAUAUCAUCUUGUGUUGCUCAUAUUGUCGGAUUUCGGGCUCCACAAAACCCUAAUGAUUCGAACUCAGGGGCGUGUACGAAGAUCUCUCAGAGGCUCGCCUCACCUAGCUCGCUACUCGUAGGGGAUGGCAAAGAACUCACUCGAUGGUGAGGAAGACACAUAACAUGACAGUUUACCCAGGUUCGGGCCGCUGAGAAGCCUAAUACCCUACUCCUGCUUUGGUGGAUUACCUCUCGUGGAGGUUGAUGGAUGAACUAGUACAGUGUUCGAGGGCCUCCGAUGGCUGGAUGACCUUCGAGUGGUGUGGGUGUGCUAAUGAGUGGAACGGAUCAGAUCGGAUGGGAUAGGAUCCCCCUCUAUGAAGUAACAUAUCUUCCAUAUAUAGCGGCGGCCCGGGUCCUCUCCCCUCAUCGCAAGGGCGGGAAGGGAUCCCACAACGACCAACUUUGAAGGGGAAAAGGGGACCAUGCUCCCCUGCCCAAAGGUGGUCUUCGCCUGCAAAAGUGGCUGCUAGCACUACAGGGACGGGUCCAGGUAUGACGUAUGUCCUCCUAGCUGACGGCGAUGGCUUUGUUGCACCAGAAAGGCAACCAUUGGAAGAUGCCUUGGGAAGCCGCGUACGUCCUUCCCUCCUUUGCACGAAAGGGUAAACUCAACCAUCCUGCAAUCUACUGCCUCCCUGUCCAUUCCCCGCGUCAUCCUUGACUCCUAAGGCCGGGCCUUGCGUCGGAAUAUCUGCCGCUCGGAGGGGUCCCGAGGAGGCACCUGCGGGUCUUGAAGCGGUUCCUCCUCGCGAGGCUUGGCCCCUCGCGAAGGCCUUGCCUUGAGUGGUGCGGGGCCUGUUGGUUGUUGGUCGAUGAAGUGGGCCAACCCUGGGCCGUAGGCACGCAGGUCUAGGUACCCCCAUUCCGAGAACGCCGACACAUAUCUUUAGACCGUAGCUCCGUUUUAAAUGAUAUAAAUAUAAAUUGACUAGAAUGACAUGUACAAUCACAUGGAUAUUUAAUUUUCCUUUUUAAAUAAUUAUAAAAAUGUGUUUAGUACAGAUAUGGACCAAUUUCGAAAUUAUCAUAUGGGGACAUUUCGGGAAUACUAUAUGUUUUUUCUAACAUCAUUUAAAAUGCCUAGAUAGUGUAGUUAUUUAUGCUUCACCUCUUUUCAUAUUUAACAACAUUAAAAUUGUCGUGUACCUAAAUGGGAGUGAACUAAGUAAUUCCAAUAUGGAGUUUCGUCAAUAUGCAACUCGUCGCAUAAUGUGUACUACUAAAUUGUUGUGGUUUAUCGUGUCAUGCAUAAUUAGAUGUACAUGCAUCAUAAUUUCUUGCACAUCAUGUCAUGAAUAUGUUGUGGUGUUUAUCGUGUAAUGAUUGUUUGUUUCCGAGUUGUUUCUUGUCAAUAGAGUUCUGAAUCGCUUCAGAGUGUGAGGAUUCGUUCGACUAUGUUGGUUUGUCUGUUGCGCAGAUUCGUUCUUCUUCAAAGCGGGAUCACACGCAGGAUGGCCAUUUUCCUAGAUACCACUAGUAUCAUUUCCAUGCUAGUUGUCUCGUUUCUAUCGCUAUGUCCCAUUGCCUGCCCUCUAUUAAUGUAAACCUCACAACAUUGCCAUGCAAAGCCUGUAACUCCUCCACAUCCCAUCAAACCAUUGUUUGGCUAUGUUACUUCUUGCUUAGCCUUCUUAUAGCGUUGCUAGUUGCAGGUGCAGUUGCUUCCAUGUCAAAAGAUGGGUUCGUUGUUAUAUCACCAUAUUAUUGCUAAUUAAUUUAAUAAACCUAUAUAAUUGGUAAAAGAUGGAAGGUUUGGCCUUUUAGCCUAGUGACUUGUUUCACCUUUGCCGCCCUAGUUACUUGUGCACCGAUGUUAUGUUCCAUAAUUGAACACUUCUAACAUGUUCGGGGUUGUUAUGAGGACCUCUUAGAUUAUUGUUUUGGGAUAAGACUCUUCUCCCAUGUCACGACAUUGGUACUAAUUUUCCUAAUAACUAAUAAAAAGCAUACGGACCCGCUGGCACCCAUGGAUAAUUAAUCAACCCCCGGACCAACGCUCCUCAUGAGUGUUGGUCCAAAAUGGGUAGAUUGCAGGGCCCCAACGGGGAACUCAUGGUUAGGUCUUACUCAUAGGCUUUCCCAUCCGGUCGUGUCCUGAGAAUGAGAUACGUGGCUCCUAUCGGGCUCGUCGACACACCGGGAGGCCUUACUGGAUUUGUUUUACCCUUCUCGAACGUCUUGUGCGAAGGAUUCCGAGGAUACUUUGGGAUAUUUCGAGGUUGAAUUUUUCAAGUAGAAUUCCGAGGAGAUCACGGGUUAUCCAUGGUCAAGGUUUCCGACACAGCUUGUGGUAGUUUGUGAUGGACUUUUUUUAACACCCGGUCAUAGCAAACUUGAAGUAUACUUCAUUAAAAUAUGUCAAUUGUGUGCGUAUCGGUGACUGUCUCUUCUCGUGAAUUCUGCAUCCCGAAGGGGACACGAUGGGUUUAUGUCUGAUGUAAGUAGGUGUUCAAGAUCCUUCAUUUGAUCAUCUUUACUUCACGUCCGUUUAUGCGUAGAUCACCCUGCUCUUAUUCUUGUACUCGUAAGUUAUCCACUCAAAUAAAUGUUUAUUGCUUGCGCAGCCUCACCACUUAACCAUAUGUGGCGACCGGUUUUCAGAUUUUUUUUCUAGAAAAUAGGUCUUUGUGUUCACCAGCCCCACCACUAUUGUUAGCUGGUAGACACUCACUUGAUACAGAACAUCCAAGAAAAAUACAAAAUUUGGGUUACAAGACCAUAAAGGUCUACUGGUUUGGAUAAAAGUCUGAGGUUGACGGCGGAAGCGACUCGAGGAAUCUCCAAAAAUCUCCAAUGUCCAUGGGACUCCAUUCCCAAAGGAACGGCUGACCUGGAUAAAUUCCUAUCUCGCAAUGUUGCUAUCCUGGUCUCCUAGGUUCCUCUCCGAAUGCAAGCUGGCCAAGACAAUAGCCAGGGACAAAACCAGUGAGUACUUUGAAUGUACUCGCAAACAUGAUGAAAAUAGUAAGUAAGGCACGUGAGAUAGAUGCGUAAUCCAUUAAAUAUUUUUCAUGCCAUAAAAAUUAAUUCAGGAAUGCAUUCAUGCAGAUAAGAAGUUUCUACCAAUGUUGUAUAAACAAGCAAGGAAGGGUAGCAAUGAAUAAGUAAUAACAUGUUUGCCGCAGUCGGGUGUCGGAGCGACACUACCUAAAGGACUCACAUGUAAGUAAUAACAGUUGCGAUAGUCAGGCGUCUAAGCGACACCACAUAAAGGGCUUAUAUUAAUAAUAAACAUGCCGCAGUCGGGCGUCGAAGCGACGCCAUAAGAAGGGUUUAUAAGAAACAAUAAUAUAUGUUGAAUAUCUGGGAGGUAGAACCGUUCCAGGGGUAUUCAACGAACAUAGUCAUAGGGAUCAGUCCACAGUAAAAUAAUAAUAUAAUCAUCUACCAUAUUUCUUGAUUAGUCUCAUGAUUUCUAUAACUUCCUCCGAUGACCGACACAUAGACCGACACUUCACUAGUCAACACAUCAUCCUAGUCAACACAUCAUCCUGACCGUGGACAUGGCUACUCGAAUAGUUUUGACUCUGCAUAGGGUGUACUCUUUACUCACAACCCACGGGUUCCAAUAGUCAUUCAGACUAAUCCAGCGUACGAUAUUUUAUAAGUAAACUCUCAGAACCAAUACACACCCAUUUUUACCCCCGCGAAGUUCGGCUUCACCCGGACUACGCUGCGAGGGAAAACCCAUAAUACAUGGAGUCUCCGACCUCGACUAGCAUGGGAUCAAAUUUAUAUCGCGUGCUACAAGGGAAGGGCCAUACUCUCUCGGUACCAGACCGGAAAUACCCAUGUCCCCUGACCGGAUGACUGGAUUUAGUCCAGGGCCAUGGAUACCUUCAUCCCAGCCUCUCUACUUGGUGUGUACCUGGUAAUAGGUUUACGACCUACUAGACCGUAUUCCCUCUCGAAAAGACCCAUGGCAGCACGAAGAGUAAGGUGACACAUCGACAAGACUUGAUCUACGGUCCACUUAGGAGGCUUAACAUUUUCCUACAAGGGUUAGUACCACACCAUCUUGCUGAAGGAAUUAUCUCAGGGUUACUACCAUCACACCCUGACAUGCUUUUAUUAACCACUCUCGUCCCACGAGAUGUCAGACCAUGGUCUCAUUUCCACCAUGACACACCUUACUCCAAGGCUGUUCAGACCAACAUAGCAUACGAGGCAUGAGGCAAUACCCACUCACCACUUGCCUUCCACAUACUUAAAGACAAAAAUAUCCAUCCCAUGCUUUUAUGCAAGGUAUGAUUUUAUCCGACAUUUUUAUCAACAUAGCCUAAAAUCAUGGAAUCAAUGUACCACAGCAACAUCACACAACUUUAUGCAAAUCAGAGUCCAAGAUGCUAUGCUUGCCUUUAGAGUUUGAAGAGGGUGAUGUGCACCACUAAUUCUUGAAGUGAGUCUCCUCUCUCGAAAUCCUAUUCUGAAAAAUAUCUAAAUUAACACACAAAUACAAAAUAGCACAUAAAAGUUGUUUGAAUAUUUUUAAAAUAGAUCUUAAAAUAAACUAGAUGAAAUUUUAGAGAGGUAGGAAAACGAAUCAGUUGAUUUGGAGUUAUAAAAACAAGUUGUGUCCAGUUUAAUUCCUGUUUAAAUCUAUUUUUAAAAGAAUCAGAAAAGAAAACGGUUUGGUCAAAAAUACUCUAUCAAGGCAGGGAGGGCGUACUCACAGGCACACGUUUUUACCAAGGGGAAAACACACUUCGGGGGCAGGUGCCAGCGGGGCCAGGGUUGGCUCACCGAAAGGCGGAGCCCGCUUGUGUGUUCUUCUCCCUCCUUAGCGCGCGCGACGACGCAGAGCUGAGGGCGAAUUCCGGCGUCGAUUGCCGACGAAUCAGGGCACCACGACGUGCUCCGGCUAUGCACGUCCAUUUUUGGAGGCUAAGGUUACGGCGGAGCUCGAGGUUGAGCACCCCUUCCUCCAUGGCGGAGGAAAGCUCGGGCAGAACUAAGACUACACGCACCACGGUUUUUGGCACUGCUGGGAGGGGGAAAAAGUUUCUAGGGUCAUCACAAAGCUAGAGGAGAAGGAAAGGGGCACUGGUCUGUGCUGGCUUCCUCGAAUUCCACCGGAGGAUGGCGGUGGUUGAAGCUCUCAGCGGCAGGAGAAGAGGGCGGCCCGGUUGAAAUUGGGGCGAGGGGGCUUCCUAUGGCUGUGCACGGAUAGCUGUAGGUGCUAGAAGUGCUCGGGGAUCCUUCUUAUAGCCGAUUUACGUCGGUUCUGUAGCAGGUGUGGAUAGGGACGCCGACGACAGGUGCUGGCGAUGUCUCAGGCGCAUAGGGGCGACAACAGGGACUAGCACGGGCAGGCUAGCGCCGCAGCACGACACCAGCAGUAGGAGGGAAU